AAACCUUAAAUCCCCAAAUACCUGCUUUGUUUAUUGUUUGCCGCUCCCUCCCCAAAUUCCCUAUUUUUCUCUUGAACUCCAUUUCUUCGCUCUUUCUCCAUAUCCCUUCUCCUUCUCGCAAAUCCAUGGAAGACCACAGCCAAGCCCGCGGGGUGAGCAUUCAUGAAGGAGGAGCAUGAAGAGGAAGGAGGAGCAUGAAGAGGCUUGCGAAGGCCUGACGUUGCUCACAGCGGAGGUGUGCGGUGGCUCGCAGUGAAGGCGGAGCUGGGUUGACGAUGGGCGCAAGGAUGGGGCUGGAUCUCUCGGAGUGGAACAGGAAUGGUUUCAGCAUCUAUUUGUUUUUUAGUUGCAGAGAUUGUUUUUGUAAGAGAAUGAGAGUGGUGAGUUUGAUUUUGUGGAUGUGAGUGAGAAAGGACCACCACACUAGAGAGAGUUAAAGGAAGAAUGGAGGAUGAGAGUGAGUUCGAUUGUUGGUUUAGCUCUUAAAUUUUGGAUCCUUUCAUUCACGAAUGCAAGUAUCAGUAAUGUGCAGGUAUAUAUAUAUAUGUAUAGCGCAGAAAAGAAAGUGAUGAAAUUCCAUGGAUGUAGUACAAAUUCUUACUUUGUAAAGACUAUUGAUAACGAAGGUGAGUACAAGGACAAGAAGAAGAAAUAUAUGUUGUAUGACAAUGAAUUUAGUGUUUUAUUUUAUUUGUAAUUUUUAUUAGAGUAAAUGAUUCUUUUUUGAGUAGUUAAUUAUUUACUUUGUAAAUCUCGUUAUAUAUUUUUUAUGGUCAAGACGAUUAUGUUUAUAGACAAGGUUAUAUAAUUUUUGA